CUCUUCUCUCUCUCUCUCUCUUUCUCUCUCUCUUAUCCUUCGAAAACUCUCCCUCUCGCCUUCGCUCCCAUUCCACUGCAUUCUCCGGCGCAUCGCUGCCGCCUCCGCCUCCGCCGUCGCCUUCACCUCCGGGAGCCCCGUCGGCGGCUGGAAUAUGGCAGCACGAAGUUUCGCACCGGAACUUGCACCGACCGAUGAUAAAAACCCCACAUUUCAAGAGAAGUUUGUGUUCUUGAAGGGCUUAGGGAAUUAAAUCUUGUGGGGCGGAAUGGCAAUAUCCUCACUUUCGAGGAGUUCAUUGGCACUGGGAACCAGAUCUGGAGGGAGGAGCGGGUGAAGUCGCUUUGUGUGGACAACCAGAUCUGGAGGGACCUUGCCUAGGCCAACGAGGCCACCGUCAACGACCUCCAAACCAACCUCGAGCAGGUCCUGGCGCAGGUCAGCAAGGACGACCGCCCCCGCAAUGGGGCCUCCCUGGAGGACGAGGCGGAGCAAUUAUGGAGGAGGGGAGGAGGAAAGCGGGAGGCGGGAGGGAGUGGAGGCGCAGGAGGAUUGGGAAGGUGGAGUUGAGCGUGUUGUUGUUGCCGUGCAGGCACCUGUGUUUGUGCGCGGUGUGUGGGUCUUCCCUCCAUACUUGUCCGCUUUGUAACCCUCCCAAAUCCGGUAGUGUCCAUCUAUCCUAGACCAGUUUUUUUCUCUCUCUCUCUCUCUUUGAAAAACAGGGAAAAUAAGACGGAAGAAAUAUUUCCAAGAGUUAGCUAGAAAUCUCUCCGAUCAUGACCCUUUUUUUAAUUGGUUCUGGUUGGUCUUGUGAUAUGAUUAAUUCUUUGCCAAAUAUUUCUUGUCUCUUUCUAUUC